AACGAACGCUGGCGGCAUGCUUAACACAUGCAAGUCGAACGAGACCUUCGGGUUUAGUGGCGCGCGGGUGCGUAACGCGUGGGAACCUGCACUUAGGUUCGGAAUAACUCCCCGGAAGGGGUGCUAAUACCGGAUAAUGUCUUCGGACCAAAGAUUUAUCGCCUUUGGAUGGGCCCGCGUUGGAUUAGCUGGUUGGUAGGGUAAAAGCCUACCAAGGCGACGAUCGAUAGCUGGUCUGAGAGGAUGAUCAGCCACACUGGGACUGAGACACGGCCCAGACUCCUAGGGAAGGCAGCAGUGGGUAAUAUAGUACAAUGGGCGAAAGCCUGAUCCAGCAAUGCCGCGUAAGUGAUGAAGGCCGUAGGGUUGUAAAGCUCUUUGACACGAGGUGUUAAUGACAGUACCGGGAGAAUAAGCUCCGGCUAACUCCGUG
rnacentral:rRNA from 1 species